AUUAAGCAAAUUAAGGGCGUAUGGUGAAUGCCUUGGCACAAAAGAACGAUGAAGGACGUAGUAGGCUGCGAUAAGCUUCGGGUAGCUGUCAAACGAGCUUUGAUCCGAAGAUUUCCGAAUGGAGUAAUCCAACUGGGUUAAUACCCAGUUAUCUUACAGUAAAUUCAUAGCUGUAUAGAUGAUAACGCAGGGAAGUGAAACCUCUCAGUACCUGCAGGAAAAGAGAACGAGAGUUUAUUCCCCCAGUAGUGGCGAGCGAAAAGGGAAGAGCCUAAACUUAUACCGUGUAAGAUUGAUAUGAAUCGUGAUUCGCGUUGCGAUGAUCGAGGAUUUGAAAUCGUAGGUUGCUACUCGUGCGGUAUGAGUGUUGCAAGAGUUAAUGGGAGUGGUAGCAAGCACUCCGAGGAGUCAAAAAAUUCUUUUUUAGUAGAAUAUAUCUGGAAAGAUAAGCCAAAGAGAGUGAAAGCCUCGUAAACGAAAAAAUAGAGUCUCCUUUUUAACUUCUUAAGUACCACGAGACACGUGAGAUCUUGUGGGAACCAGCCGAUACCACUCGGCAAGGCUAAAUAUCUUUUGUGACCGAUAGUGAAUUAGUAUAGAGAGGGAAAGGUGAAAAGUACCCCUGUUAGGGGAGUGAAAUAGUAACUGAAACCAUAUGCUUACAAACAGUCGUAGCCGGUAUAUCCGGUGGCGGCGUGCCUAUUGAAGAAUGACCCAGUGAGUUCGUUGUGUGUGGCAAGGUUAACCAUGUUUAUUGGGGAGCCGAAGCGAAAGCGAGUCUGAAUAGGGCGAUUUGAGUCACAUGCACGAGACCCGAAACCAAGUGAUCCAGCCAUGGGCAGGGCGAAAUCAUGAGAAAUCAUGACGGAGGCCCGAACUCUUUAAUGUUACAAAAUUAUGAGAUGACCCGUGGUUAGCGGUAACAUGCCAAACGAACUUGGUAAUAGCUGGUUCUCCCCGAAAUAGUUUUAGGACUAGCGUUGCAAUUUAAUAUAUGGGGGUAGAGCACUGAUUGGAUUUGGGGCUCGAAAGAGUACCCAUUCCAGUUAAACUCCGAAUACCGUAUUGUAUAUUGCAGCAGUUAGAGUCAGGGAUCUAAGUUCCUGUGCUCUAGAGGGAAACAGCCCAGAUCGUCAGAUAAGGACCCCAAAUUUUACCUUAGUGGGAAAGGAAGUGAGAUUUCUCAGACAGCUAGGAGGUUGGCUUAGAGGCAGCCAUCCUUUAAAAAAUGCGUAAAAGCUUACUAGUCAAGAGAUUUUGCACUUAAAAUGUAACGGGGCUGAAGGUAAAUUCCGAAGCUGCGAAUUUAUACAUACUUCGGUAUGUAUGGGUGGUAGGGGAGCGUUCUAUAUAUGAUCAACUUAGCAGUUGAUAAAAAGCUGUGAAGAUGGCCCGUAAGGCGCUGUUGGAGCAUAUAGAAGUGAGAAUGCUGGGAUGAGUAACGUAAAGCAGGUGAAAACCCUGCUCGCUGAAUGUCUAAGGUUUCCAUGGCUAUGUCAGUCAACCAUGGGUUAGUCGGUCCUAAGUCGAGGCUGAAAAGCGUAGACGAUGGCUAACAGGUUAAUAUUCCUGUACUACUAACAUUCGAAAUGGAGUGAGAGGAUUGAAUACGCAAGCCCCUAAUUGGUUUGGGGUGUAAGCAACAAGAGAGCUCUUUUAGGAAAAUCCGGAAGAGUGUUUCUACUUCGGUGGAUGAACACGAGUUGCAAUGCAAAGGUGACCUUCGGGAAACCGAUUUGUACUAUUUAAUUCUCCAGGAAAAUCUUCUAUCAAUAAUUACUUCGGUAAUUAUAAAAAUGUUUGUAACCGUACUGCAAACCGACACUGGUGGACAAGUGUAAAUGCACUAAAGCGUACGAGUGAUACAUUGUUAAGGAAUUCGGCAAAUUGACCCCGUAAGUUCGCAAUAAGGGGGACUCUCCAUCAUAAGUUUUAUUAUUUGUGGUGAUGAGAGUGGCACAGAAUAGGGAAGAACGACUAGUUACCAAAACUACAGGCGCUUGCAAACUCGUAAGAGGAUGUAUAAGUGCUGACACCUGCCCAAUGCCAGAAGGUUAAGGUGAUUCAUUAGCUCUCUGCUGGGUGCACUUCGGUGCCCUAGUGGUUGCGAAGUGGAAAGCCGAAGCCCUGGUCAAUGGCGGCUGUAACUAUAACGGUCCUAAGGUAGCGUAAUACCUCGUCACUUAAUUAGUGACUUGCAUGAAAGGUGUAACGAUUCUUCCUCUGUCUCAACAAUGUGCUCGGUGAAAUUGAAAUGGCUGUGAAGAUGCGGCCUACCUAUACCAGGACAAAAAGACCCCGUGGAGCUUUACUUCAGCUUUGCAUUGAGAUAAGGUUUCGGAUGUAUAGAAUAUGUGGGAGACUAUGAAGCAGUUUCGUCAGGAAUUGUGGAGUCGACAGUGUAAUACCACUCUUUUGGUAUUUUAUUUCUAACAGUAUCCAUUAUCUGGAUUCUAGACAGUGCAUGGUAGGAAGUUUGACUGGGGCGGUUGCUUGCUAAAGAGUACCGCAAGCGCACUAAGGUCUCCUCAACCCGGAUGGAAAUCGGGUGAAGAGUGCAUAAGCAUAAGGAGGCUUUACUGUGAGGGAGACAUCCCGAUCAGUUACGAAAGUAGGUUUAAGUGACCCUUUGGUUGCGCGUGGAAGCGCCAUUGUUUAACGGAGAUAAGCUACCCCGGGGAUAACAGGCUAGUCUUGCCCGAUAGUUCAUAUUGACGGCAAGGUUCGGCACCUCGAUGUCGGCUCGUCGCAUCCUGGGAUUGGAUAAGAUCCCAAGGGUUGGACUGUUCGUCCAUUAAAGCGGCACGUGAGCUGGGUUCAGACCGGCGUAAGCCAGGUCGGUCUCUAUCCGGUAUAGGCGUUGUAUAUUUGAGGAAAUCGUCCCCUAGUACGAAAGGAUCGGGGAGUGAAAACCUCUGGUCUACCAGCUGUUCUACCAAGAGCAUUGCUGGGUAGCUAAGUUUUUAUCGGAUAAGCACUGAAAGCAUAUAAGUGCGAAGCCUAUUCCAAGAUUAAAUAUACUUGUGUAGCUUGACUACACGGAAGGUCUGUAGGAGACUACUACAUUGAUAGGCUCUAGGUAUAAGUGUAGCGAUACAUUUAGCCGAGGAGUACUAAUUGACCAAAAGCUU
rnacentral:rRNA from 1 species